UAAUCAGAACAUGACUGGGUAAAAAGAAGUGAUCAAGGGCACAACUUGCCUGAGACUUGAGAUUCCAGGUACCAGGAUGAUCUUCAGAUUCUCGUGACCUCACUGCUAGUCGUAGUAAUACAAACAUACAUGGUAUAGGCAAAAUUAACAUCACCCCAAACAUAAGAACAAACUGAAUAAUAAUAAUCUACGCUGAUACGAGACUAACGGAACUUGAACGAAUCAAAUCGGAGUUAAAACGGAGGAGUUAUGAUUUUAUGAAGAUUCUAUGUGUUUUGUACAAGAUUAAAUGGGAUAUAAAUUUUGAUGUGACUUUCAUAUCAAAACAGAGGUACUAUGUGAUAAACAAUAAUAUUAUAGAAUUAUAGAAAUUGGAAUGAACUAAUUUGGACAUCAUAUGAAUUUUCUAUGAUUAAUACAAGUUCUAGUAUUUAUUUUUGCACUAAAAAUCCAUUUCUAAUAUAUUUCCUCUGAUUUUCCAACUCUCUGGACUGGGCGCAUAAUUAUUAAAUAGCGCAGGGUCCUCGGCGCUAAACCUACCGAGACACAGAACACUGAGAUAUGGACCGCGGGUUGGUUUCUUAAAAACAGAGGGGCUUCUCUGCAAAAUGCGCACGGCGAAAGGGUAUCAUCUAAAUCUAGCCGUUCAGAUUAGGUCCUACGGCCCAGAUUACAUUAGCCUAACAUCGAGACGGUACGCGCCCAGAGCCGUCGAUCAAACAAUCAACGACCGGGAUUUAAAAUGCCGAGAUAGACUAUUGUGCGUUCGAUCCCGAUCUAACGGACACAACCUAAUCUAUCCCAGCCGUUCCUACACGAUCGACGGUCCAAGGGCUUUGUCUUAAUCCGGCUAGCCACAGGCGGCGGCGCGCACACCAUGCAGGGGAAACAGAUCGGCCCUGGCCGGUUUGGUCAUGCUAGGAAGGUUUGGCCAACAGGUCACAUGGCUAGCUGUAGCAGAUGGGUGCCAGUCAGGCUAGUGCAGGCUCGUCGGCCGGUGGUGGCCGCAUGGCCUUGGCACGACGAGCGCUGGACAUCCGGGUGGGGGCGGCAGGACGCGUAACCGCCGAGGCUGGGAAGGGGCUACAGGGAGAAGGGCGCCGCCAUGGCCAGGGGAGUCGUGUCGAGGGGAGGGUUGCAUGGUGUGCGUAAGGAAAAGAACACGACAUGGCUAGAGAAGAGGAUCGGCAAGGGUCGGCAAUGGCGCUACGUGCUUCCACGGCGAGUAUGGAAAGGGGCGUGGGGAGCAAGGGAGCGUACCUGCUAACUGCAAUUGACAUCUCGGCGAGGGCUGAGCAAUGGUGCAGUGCAACGUUGUCGACGGCAGCAACAUAUAUAUAUCUCUCUCUCUCUCUUAGUUCAGGGGUUACGACUAGAAAUCCUGGUGCAGCAUAGGCUUUCGUGGCUUAUGGCCAGAGGAGUAGGCGACCAGGUUCUUAUAUCCCAAGCAUCGAUGGUCUAGCUGGCGCACGGCUA
rnacentral:lncRNA from 1 species